AAGUCGUAACAAGGUUUCCGUAGGUGAACCUGCGGAAGGAUCAUUAAUGAAUUAAAAAUGAGGGGGGAGUUGUUGCUGGCCGCAAGGUAUAGUGCACGCUCUCCUUUUGUUCAUUCAUCUCACACCUGUGCACCUAUCGUAGGCUGAGCAAUCGGCUUAUGUAUAUUUAUCACACCCUGUAAUGUCUUACGAAUGUACACAAGGCGCUCGCGUCUUUUAAAACUAAUACAACUUUCAACAACGGAUCUCUUGGCUCUCGCAUCGAUGAAGAACGCAGCGAAAUGCGAUAAGUAAUGUGAAUUGCAGAAUUCAGUGAAUCAUCGAAUCUUUGAACGCACCUUGCGCCCUUUGGUAUUCCGAAGGGCAUGCCUGUUUGAGUGUCAUUAAAUUAUCAACUCUGAAAACUUUGUUGUUCUCAGAGCUUGGACUUGGAGUGUGCCGGACCCCUAACAGGGCUCAGCUCCUCUUGAAAUGCAUAUGCGGAACCUUUGAUUGCGGACCAGCUCCAGCGUGAUAAUUAUCUACGUUGCGGCAGCGAAGCAGUUGGAUCUGCCUAUAAUUGUUGCCUUGUGCAACAGGGACUUCACGGCCCCUAUCUUUGACAAUUUGACCUCAAAUCAGGUAGGAUUACCCGCUGAACUUAAGCAUAUCAAUAAGCGGAGGAAAAGAAACUAACAAGGAUUCCCCUAGUAACUGCGAGUGAAGCGGGAAAAGCUCAAAUUUAAAAUCUGGCGGUUUCACCGUCCGAGUUGUAAUCUAGAGAAGUGUUAUCCGUGCUGGACCGUGUACAAGUCUCUUGGAAUAGAGCGUCAUAGAGGGUGAGAAUCCCGUCUUUGCCACGGACUGCCAGUGCAUUGUGAUGCGCUCUCAACGAGUCGAGUUGUUUGGGAAUGCAGCUCAAAAUGGGUGGUAAACUCCAUCUAAAGCUAAAUAUUGGCGAGAGACCGAUAGCGAACAAGUACCGUGAGGGAAAGAUGAAAAGAACUUUGGAAAGAGAGUUAAACAGUACGUGAAAUUGUUGAAAGGGAAACGCUUGAAGUCAGUCGCGUUCGCUGGGGAUCAACCUUCUCUCGAGUUGGUGUACUUCCCAGUUGACGGGUCAGCAUCGAUUUUGACUGUUGGAUAAAAGCUGGAGGAAUGUGGCAUCUCCGGAUGUGUUAUAGCCUCUUGUUGCAUACAACAGUUGGGAUCGAGGAACUCAGCACGCCGCAAGGCCGGGGUUUUACCCACGUACGUGCUUAGGAUGCUGGCAUAAUGGCUUUAAUCGACC
rnacentral:rRNA from 1 species